AAAUUUUCGAAUGAAAUAUUUGACAUUUAACAAUCUUCUCUAAAUCUCUCCACGUUAGUUACUAAAAUAAAACUUCCAAAAUAUUUAAUUACUUCAAAAUUAGCAUUUUUGAUAUUGCUUUUCUCUAUGACUAUAACAAUUCGAUUAUAAUCAUCAAACCACAGAGAUUUUUGAUAGCAUUUAAUUACUACAGAAUUACAAAAUAUUUAGACAAUAAUUCAUAAACAUAUCAUAAAUAAGAUCAACAUUAAUAAAAUAAAUGUUUUUUCACGGGACGGGUUGUCGGGACGGGUUUGGUAGGACGUUACUUAAUAACAAUUGUAAACUAUAAAAUAAAAAUAUUUUAUAAAUAAAUACAAUUUGCAAACUUUUAUGUAUACUAACUUAAAAAAUAAAUUAUUCCUGCAGUGUACCGCGGGUUAAAAUCUAGUUUGCUAUACAAAAUCAGAAUUUCAAUUAUACUAU
rnacentral:sRNA from 1 species